rnacentral:rRNA from 1 species
UACGUAGGGGGCGAGCGUUGUCCGGAUUUAUUGGGCGUAAAGAGCUCGUAGGCGGUUUGGUAAGUCGGGUGUGAAAUCUCCACGCUCAACGUGGAGGGGCCACUCGAUACUGCCAUGACUCGAGUCCGGUAGAGGAGUGUGGAAUUCCCGGUGUAGCGGUGAAAUGCGCAGAUAUCGGGAGGAACACCAGUGGCGAAGGCGGCACUCUGGGCCAGUACUGACACUGAGGAGCGAAAGCGUGGGGAGCAAACAGG